CUACGUGCCAGCAGCCGCGGUAAUACGGAAGGUCCAGGCGUUAUCCGGAUUUAUUGGGUUUAAAGGGAGUGUAGGCGGUUUGUUAAGCGUGUUGUGAAAUUUAGAUGCUCAACAUUUAACUUGCAGCGCGAACUGUCAGACUUGAGUACACGCAACGUAUGCGGAAUUCAUGGUGUAGCGGUGAAAUGCUUAGAUAUCAUGAAGAACUCCGAUUGUGAAGGCAGCAUACGGGAGUGUAACUGACGCUUAAGCUCGAAGGUGCGGGUAUCGAACAGGAUUAGAUACCCUGGUAGUCCGCACAGUAAACGAUGGAUGCCCGCUGUUAGCGCCUGGCGUUAGCGGCUAAGCGAAAGCAUUAAGCAUCCCACCUGGGGAGUACGCCGGCAACGGUGAAACUCAAAGGAAUUGACGGGGGCCCGCACAAGCGGAGGAACAUGUGGUUUAAUUCGAUGAUACGCGAGGAACCUUACCCGGGCUUGAAUUGCAGAUG
rnacentral:rRNA from 1 species